CCAAUAGCGUAUAUUAAAGUUGUUGCAGUUAAAAAGCUCGUAGUUGAACUUCAGGCCUGGCUGGGCGGUCCGCCUUCCGGGCGAGUACUGCCUGUGGUCGGGUCCUACCUUCUGGCGAAGCGUCAUGGCCUUAACCGGCCGUGGCGGGGAACCAGGACUUUUACUGUGAAAAAAUUAGAGUGUUCAAAGCAGGCACGCGCUUGAAUACAUUAGCAUGGCAUAAUGGAAUAGGACAGUGGUUCUAUUUGUUGGUUUCUAGGACCGUUGUAAUGAUUAAUAGGGAUAGUUGGGGGCAUUAGUAUUCAAUUGUCAGAGGUGAAAUUCUUGGAUUUAUUGAAGACUAACUACUGCGAAAGCAUUUGCCAAGGAUGUUUUCAUUAAUCAAGAACGAAAGUUAGGGGAUCGAAGACGGUCAGAUACCGUCGUAGUCUUAACCAUAAACUAUGCCGACUAGGGAUCGGAUGAUGUUAUUUUUAAUGACUCAUUCGGCGCCUUACG
rnacentral:rRNA from 1 species